UAUUCAUAUCUAUCCACGCUGUCAGGAAAAUUGGACUCUAGAAUAUGCAAGGCUCAAAGCAAGGGUGGAAGUCUUAGAGAGAAAUCAAAGGAAUUUUAUGGGACAAGAUCUGCAAUGCUUAAGUCUAAAAGAGCUUCAGAAUUUAGAACAGCAGCUUGAUUCUGCCCUCAAACAAGUUAGAUCACGAAGGAACCAACUCAUAUAUGAGGAUAUCUCAGUGCUUCAG